rnacentral:rRNA from 1 species
AGAUAUCACACAGAACAUCGAUCGCGAAGGCAGCUCACUAAACCUAGAUUGACGCUCAUGCACGAAAGCGUGGGGAUCAAACAGGAUUAGAUACCCUGGUAGUCCACGCUGUAAACGAUGAUCACUCGCUGUUGGCGAUAUACAGUCAGUGGCCAAGCGAAAGUGAUAAGUGAUCCACCUGGGGAGUACGACCGCAAGGUUGAAACUUAAAGGAAUUGGCGGG